GACGAACGCUGGCGGCGUGCUUAACACAUGCAAGUCGAACGGAAAGGCCCCUUUGGGGGUACUCGAGUGGCGAACGGGUGAGUAACACGUGAGUAACCUGCCCUUGACUUCGGGAUAACUUCAGGAAACUGGGGCUAAUACCGGAUAGGAAUCCUUGCUGCAUGGUGGGGGUUGGAAAGCUUCGGCGGUUUUGGAUGGACUCGCGGCUUAUCAGCUUGUUGGUGGGGUAGUGGCUUACCAAGGCUUUGACGGGUAGCCGGCCUGAGAGGGCGACCGGCCACAUUGGGACUGAGAUACGGCCCAGACUCCUACGGGAGGCAGCAGUGGGGAAUAUUGCACAAUGGGCGGAGGCCUGAUGCAGAAACGCCGCGGGCGGGAUGACGGCCUUCGGGUUGUAAACCGCUUUCAGCAGGGGCGAAGCUUGUGGUGACGGUACCUGCAGAAGAAGCACCGGCUAACUACGUG
rnacentral:rRNA from 1 species